rnacentral:sRNA from 1 species
GAGUAGUAAAAAAAAAAAAAAAAAGCUUUACUAUUGUUGAUUCUCUAAACAUUUACAACCAGUGAAUGCUAAAGGAGAUCAACCCUGAAUAUUCUUUGGAAGGGCUGAUGUUGAAGCUGAAGCUCCAAAACGUUGGCCACCUGAUGCGAAUCUGUCUGUUUGGAAAGAACUCUGACGCUAGGAAGGAUGGAAGACAAGAGGAGAAGGGGAAGACAGAGGACGAAAUGGAUGGAUGGCAUCCCUGACUCAAUAGACAUGAGUUUGAGCAAUGUCUGGGAGACAGUGAAGGACAGGGAAUAUUUGUGUGCUAAGGUUCACAGGGUCGCAAAGAGUCAGACAGGACUGAGUGACUGAACAACAACAAAGGUGUCACACAGUUCAGUUAGUGCAACAGGGUUCUUAACGUGAAAAAAAAAGGUCUCACGAAUUCCGCU